GACGAACGCUGGCGGCAUGCCUAAUACAUGCAAGUCGAGCGAACAGAUGGAGUGCUUGCACUUCUGACGUUAGCGGCGAACGGGUGAGUAACACGUAAGGAAUCUACCUAUAAGCGGGGGAUAACAUUCGGAAACGGGUGCUAAUACCGCAUAAUAUCUUCUUCCGCAUGGAAGAAGAUUGAAAGACGGCCCUGCUGUCACUUAUAGAUGACCUUGCGGUGCAUUAGUUAGUUGGUGGGGUAACGGUCUACCAAGACGAUGAUACAUAGCCGACCUGAGAGGGUGAUCGGCCACAUUGGGACUGAGACACGGCCCAAACUCCUACGGGAGGCAGCAGUAGGGAAUCUUCCGCAAUGGGCGAAAGCCUGACGGAGCAAUGCCGCGUGAGUGAAGAAGGCCUUCGGGUCGUAAAACUCUGUUAUAAGAGAAGAACAAAUUGUAGAGUAACUGCUACAGUCUUGACGGUAUCUUAUCAGAAAGCCACGGCUAACUACGUGCCAGCAGCCGCCGUAA
rnacentral:rRNA from 1 species